UUUAGGGAACACGGCAGUAAAGGGGUGUUACCAAAGAAUUCUAUUAGAAGCGGGUGUAACCCACAGCGAUAUGAACCGUGUUCUCAGUUCUCUCUGGUUUAAGUAGGAGGAAAAACAGUCGUCUCUGUUGCUUCAUCUUGCAGUAACCUGCUUUUUUCAGGUCAUUCGGCUCUUAGGAGGUAACUUACAAAGGGUGGACGAGAGGAGAGGUUUCCAUACUGUAAGAAGAGGAGAAAGUCAGGAGGCUGGCACUGACAAGGACGUGCAAGGUAAGAAGUCAGCUGCACGUAGCCUCCAUUAGCUUACCAUCAGCUGCUAUCAUAUUUUGUCACUUUUCAUCACUAUGCCUGCCUAGAAACCAUUCUUUCUUGGCAGAUGAUAAUUUGCCAUAACUAAGUCUUUGCCUGAAGAAUAAUAAUCUAAGUGUGUGUGACAGAAUGGAGCCAUGGCUGAGAAAGAGCUCUACUUUGAGCGUAACAACAUUACUUAAAUUCCUUCUGACUCUGUGUGCUACAAGAACACCAUUAUCACAGCACUUAUUGGCCAAUCUCCACAUUGUGAACAAAGCUUCUGAGGAGCUGGGAGGGACACAGAAGUAAAAAGGCUGUAUACAUUAUAAAAGCACAUCCAGCCCUGACAUGAAGCAGUGAGCAUCUGACACUAACUGAAAUAUGUGAGUGAUGUUAGUGUUUGAGAUAUAAAUAAACAGACAGACACAUACAAUAAAAUCAACCCUAAUAAUGUUAAAGGAUAAAAGUGGAAUGGAAGGUUAUUUACUCCCAUGUUGUUUCCAGGGAAACAAAGAAAUCGUCAAGAUUAAAGAGAAAAGAAAUCAACGAUUUUAAAGUCUUUUUUUAUCCCUGUUUUUGGAAGAUUUGCUCAAUUUUGUUUCUUGUAUAUUUUCUAGAUAAAAUAUAGCCUACAUUUAUAUUCAGCACUAUGCAAAGGUCUUGCACCAUCGCUGGGAGGAGACACAAACCCCGCCUUAGGGUAUUACAAGCUAAGUUAUGCCUAGACCAGUGGUGCCAAACAUAAGGGCCAGGGGCCAGAAUCUUUGGCUUUAAAACAUGUUACAUGUAUGACAUCAAUUUUAGACUUUUAACCGUAUUUUCUUACGUUUUAUAGCUUUUCCCACUGAUAAACUCCUCUUCUAUGGCUAUUCAUAGGACAAAUAAGCAAGUACACUAAAACAACAAAAUAACAGAAAGUUCCUGUUUUUUCACUAUCUGAAACUAUCUACUGAAGAAAUGUAUGAUCUAUCUAUGGAUUAUGGGUUUAUAAUUACAGGGCAGAGAAAUAUUCCUAUAAUUUUAAACAUUUAUUUCUUAUAAUUUAAGCCCAUCUUUAUCAUGUGCAGAAACUGAGCUGUAUUGUUGAAACGUUGUUCCUUUUUUUACUAAAAAAAUCUAAAGCAAUAAAUGUGUAGUUGUUCUUUACACUGACAGAAAGGGGACUUUCACUGGGCUGGACCAGUGGCCCACAGUGUAAAAUAAUAUGACAUCCCUGGCUUAGAUGAAUGGGAAGUUCUGUUCCAGAGUAGGAGGAAGGAAAAUCUGUGCAGAUCCAUCUGCUGUGAUGACCCCUUGGGAACGGCACAGUCAAAGUACCUCAAUUCUCUAUUUAACUGAGCUCAUUCUUUAGUAAACUUUAAGAACUACAAGAUACUGUGUUUGAGCUAAGUUGUUUUUCAUGUAACAGUCUAAUACUUUAUUCAUCCCAACCUUUGGAAUAAAUUAUUUCUUCUCCUUGUUCUUCUUCUUAUCAUUAUUAUUAUCAUUAUAUUAUGGAAAGGGGUGUUGUUAGGUCACAUUAGCUAUCGCUCCUUCAGUUGUGGUGAAAGCAAAUUUGUGAACUGUCAAAACUCGUCUGCGCACGUCAUCCUGAAACCUCCACACUCUUUUUACGCGCGUCUAAUCUUGUGAGUGAGCAGUCCAAUGAUAAAGGAAAAAUGUUAGCAGCGUUAGGCACAUGUUCAUUAUAUCACUUUGUCUCAGUAACAACUGUGCCUAUUAAUAUAGAUAGUGCACAAAUGACAUUCCUAGUGAAGACAUUGUCAGUGAAUUCAGUAUUGUAGGUGGUUUGUGUUCAUUAAGAUCAAAUAGAAACACAAGUAAAAACACUCUGAGCGUACACUGCACUGAAAAUACAGUUAUUUCCAUCUCUACAUUUUCUUUCUCAGGGAACAAACUGCCUGUGGGUCCCUUUUCUGUACUAAUGGCACAAAGGAUGUUGAAUGAAAGUGGGCAAGAUGGCCGAUCAGUCCUGGGAAUGUUGGAGGUGCAGGUAGAGCGGGACCCCAAGACAGGCGCCACCAUUGUUAGGUCAGUGGCUCCUGUGUCCACACCAGCUGGUGCUCCAAAGGCUACCACUGUCUUUGACGACGGCAGGAGGAGCAUCCACACUAUCAGUGGGUCAGCAGAUCAACCCUCGUCUGAAGAGCUCGGGCAUAUCUUGAGCGUCAUCGACGGGGUUGGGAUGAAAGUGCUGCUGAAUGAAGUUACAGUCACACCAACCAAGACAGAGACAGAGACAGUAGAAGCUAGCAAAGGCUCAGAGAAAAAAGGCCUGUCGCUUUACACCCAUCCCAGCACGUCAAAGGAAGACUACAGGCCGUUCGGCGGUUCUAGAAGCGAUGAUUUAGAAGUUGAGCUGAGCAGUGAGAAGUGUGUUGUAAGUGUGGGAAACACAGAUGAUAAAAACACGAUGGCAGUGAGAGACACUUUGGAAAAAGUAGAUAUCGUGGAGAAUCAGAUGUUGGAGGAAAGUCCUGUCACACUUGUGUUCUUGGGAUACGCUGAUGCUACAACUGACCAGAGUCAGAGCCAAGAGGAGCAGGAAGGCAUGAUCACUGUGGAACGAGUGAUAAUCACGGAGGAUGGAGAAGAGCAUGUCUUAGGACCUGAAAUGCCUCCUCCACUUUAUUCACCAUUAGACCAGGUAGCAGAGCAAGGCACCGGGAAAGAGUCCAAAGAUGAAGCAGUUCAGGAUAUUCCCUCGGGUGGAAACGGAGCUGGAGUCAAUGUGCAGGCAGAGGAAGGUGAUAAAGAGUCACAUAAUGCAUCUCCACCAGGCAUAACAGAGGGAAAAGGCAGUUCUAAGCACAGGAGCUGCCGGUGUUGCUCUGUCAUGUAAGAAAUGGUUGAAGAAAGACUCCCUGUAUACCAUGUAUACACUGCUUCCUUUAUAUGUUGCUUUAUAUGAGUGGGUUUAAUAGCAUACUACACCAUCACCCACCAUUCCACCUCCCCUUGAUAAUAAAAAUGGCAUUUAUAUAUUUGUGCAUCUUCUACAAAGCUCUACAAAGUGCACUAAAGUCCACUUCCACCCCCUACUGGACAGAAAUAAGAACUUCAAGCAAGCAAGCUUAUCCAACAGAAAAAAUCCACACUAAUUGUUUAGCCAUGGUUCCUGUAGAAAUGGGGGAAAAAAGUAUGCCAUCCUUUAGCAUGCACAUCCUAAUGCUUAUGGUGUCCCUCACUGUUUCUGGUAUUAAAAAUGCAACUGAGGGCUGAGAUUUUGAGUGUUUCUGAGUUUUGAUGCAUCACCUUUACACGUUGAGUUUCUUAAGACGGAUUCAGAGUCACCAUUUCUGUGUAAAAAUCCAAGCAUUAACAUUUUGAGAAAUUAUCUCACUCUUGCUCAGAGUUACAUGAGAAACAUUAAACUUUUCUAAUGUCUGUGCAGUUACUGUGAAGCUAAAACCAGCAUCUGGUUACUGCUGCGCUCGGGCUGACAUGGCAACAAGACAUUUUUAUCUCUCAGUUUCUGUACUGAUUAGGCAAACACUGAUUAGGUGUUAAUUAGAAGUUCUGGCUGGCAGAUUUUUUUUAAACCUCCUGGCAGUUGGGCUUGUUGGUUUCACGUUCAUGCCAAGUUAAUAAAAUUGGUUUGUAGAAUUUGUUUAAUAUUUUUCAGUGCCACUUAUCGUCUCAUCUAAUUCUUGGGGAAAGAAAGUAAAUAGCAUACCGCCCACCUUCUUGAACUAUGCCUUCACUAUUUUAGACCUGAUAUAUACAUUAAAAAAUACUUCUAGAAUUGUUUGAAACACUUGAAAAACCCUAUUGGCAAUACAAGAAGAACAAUAUGUUCUUCCUGUAUAUUCACUGUAGAAAAUCUGGAAAUCACUGUCUUUUUCUGACCUUUGUGUAAUUUUUUUUCUCACUGAAUUUAGAUAUAAAACUGAUUUAUGGCAGUGGAUGUUAAAUGGGAUAUGUUGUAAUAUGACAGAUUCCAGUUGGUGUAUUGAUUGAGUUUUACAAUUAGAUUUGAGAUGUACUCACAAUUUCACACUAAAGCAGCAAACAUGCAGACCUUCUGUAUUUGCUUCUGUAUCAUGCACUGAAAUACAUAAAAGAAUUGAGAUUUUCCAGCACAUUUUUUUGACUUUAAAUUCUCAAUUUAAAUUCACGUGACAUCUUUGUAUUUCUAAGAUUUCCUUUAUUUAAGGUGUUUAGGUGUGUAAAAACAGUAAUUAUACCAACAAAAAAUACUGACCACUGCUGUAGUACAAUUAACCAGCAAAUGGGUUUAUCAUAUGAAGAUAUCCUGUUAAUUUGAGAUGAUUAUGUUAUAUAAGCUGUUAAAUGUAACUUUACAUCAAAAUCUUGAAUAAACAACAGAUCUUCAAGUUUAAAGAAGGUAAACCCACAUAUUAAAUGACUGGAUUUAUCUUUAUUUAACACCAUAAAGUAUGUAAUUGUAAUAUACUGUUAAUUUAUGAUCAUAUUAAGUUUAAUAUGAUUCUUUAUAAAUAACUUAAGAUUGAAAUAUGAAAUGUUUCACAAAAGUUUAAUGUAAAAAAAAUUAAAUUCCUGGAUUUAAGUUGUAAAAAACAAUUUUAAAAUGGUUAACCUUGAAUAUAAUAUUAUUAUUAUAAUUAAAACAAGCUGCUGUCAUAUGUAAUGUGUUUUUUCCC
ensembl:lncRNA